rnacentral:sRNA from 1 species
AAUGAACUUCGUUUGCAGUGAAAAUCCUUUCUAUUACUGAUUUUUUUCAGGAAUAGAAAGAUUGAAACGAAAAGCGGGAAAUAGC